GGUUCCAUGGUGUAUUGAUUAGCACUCUGGACUUUGAAUCCACCGAACCGGGUUCAAAUCUCGGUAGAACCU